GCUGACUACGUGGCAGCGUGAGGGGGAAUACGGAGGGUGCGAGCGUUAUCCGGAAUUAGUGGGCGUAAAGCGCGCGCAGGCGGUUUCUUAAGUCAGAUGUGAAAGCCCACGGCUCAACCGUGGAGGGUCAUUGGAAACUGGGAAACUUGAGUGCAGAAGAGGAAAGCGGAAUUCCACGUGUAGCGGUGAAAUGCGUAGAGAUGUGGAGGAACACCAGUGGCGAAGGCGGCUUUCUGGUCUGUAACUGACGCUGAGGCGCGAAAGCGUGGGGAGCAAACAGGAUUAGAUACCCCGGUAGUC
rnacentral:rRNA from 1 species